UCGGGCUUGGCGGGGCUGCGGCGCGCGUCCGUACCGUGUCUUUGGGGUUCCUCCUUGUGGGGCCGGUUCUUGCCGAGCUUCAUGGCCGAGAACACACUCCUCCCGGCUCUGUGAGGCGGGUGCCAGAACGAGGUGGAGGGAGAUGGACGCCAGGAGGAAGACACACAAACACAGGAGAGCAAAAACGGAGAAAGAACACGCAAGACGUGGAGGGUUAUGAGUCUGCAUCCCAGUGAGAGAGCGACCAAGAACCCUUCCGUGUGCACCAGCUCACCGCUUAGAAAAUAGCAGUGUAUCCAUGGUUUCCUAAAAAGUCACGAGCAAUCCUGGGAGGGACAUACACUUUUCCUCAUUCAGCCCAAGGAAAGACUCAGAGGCUCCGAGCGCUGGGGUUGAAGCGCAGAGCUCCUGCCUCCGAGGCCGGCAACUCCUGCACCCUCGGCCCACGGUAGGAUUGCACUUCCCUGUCGGUGGACAUCACAUCCUGACCAUUUGGAACUUUGGUGAAGAGUCUCCAGGGCCUGCACUUGUAGGUGUAAGUGUGGGCCAUGGACCAGCACAACCCGAAGAUGGGGUUGCCGUCUGUGAAGAGUCCCACAGACUACCCAGGUUUACUUACAAAGAAGGGGCUUGUUCACAAAUAAUCUCAACCUCAACACAUUUUGGAAGAGACUGCCAUGAAGGUUAAUGGCUGGUGACAAAACAUGGAACAGACCUGCUCUUCAGUUCAUCUGGACAGCCUGCCAUAGAGCGUGAUGUCACUGGCUCGCACUGCCCUAUGGAGCUUUCUGAUCAAUGACACAUCAGAAGUUCACACUAGAAGCAGUGUCUCCUGCCUAUUACUGCACUGCUUUCCAGAAAGACCAUGCCUGCUUUCCUUGGCAAAGGGGAAAGGUGAUUUUCGGAAUAAAUGUUAACUUAGGCAGGGAUUAUUGAAGAUUAUCCACUCAUGUUAAAGACUAAGAUUUCCAAAAUGUGGAAUUCGUUGACUAGGUGACUGGUGCGCUGGUGUACUGAAUUUUGGUUUUCGUUUUUAAAUAAAAUGCCGCCUUUUAUUAAGAGACAAAGAAAACAAGCCAAUCAUCAACUCAGUGAAAAACUACUUUGCAACCAAGUGGCUCCUCAUUCACGGCUGCAGGAAAAAAGAAGCUGGAGCCAGGGGAGGUGGGCCUCUUCAGGCCCUCUGAGGAGUCAGGGUCACAUUUGGGCUUCCCCGUUGCUGGAUUCACUGCAGGCAGAAUGAUAUGCACCUAACAAUGUAGAUCACUCUUUCCCUCUACGGAAAAGAUUUUAACGUUAGUUCACUCAUUUGUAAACUCUUUUUUUAAAUUUCUGGACCUGAUGAUUUCUCUGCUGGUUCCACGGCUCAGAUCUAGAAGGAUGCUGUGGUUGGGGGAUGCACUCAGGGCC